UUAAAGGAAUUGACGGAAGGGCACCACAAGAAGUGGAGCUUGCGGCUUAAUUUGACUCAACACGGGAAACCUCAUCAGGCCAGGACACCGGAAGGAUUGACAGAUUGAGAGCUCUUUCUUGAUUCGGUGGGCGGUGGUGCAUGGCCGUUUCUGGUUGGUGGAGCGAUUUGUCUGGUUUAUUCCGAUAACGAACGAGACCCUGGCCUGCUAACUAGUCGCAAUUCCGGCAUCCUUGGUUGCAGCCGGCGACACACUAUCUUCUUAGAGGGACAGGCGGCGUUUAGCCGCAGGAAGAUGGGCAAAAACAGGUCUGUGAUGCCCUUAGAUGUUCUGAGCAGCACGCGUGCUACACUGAAGGAAGCAACGUGUGUUUUCCUUGGCCGAGAGGUCCGGGUAACCCGUUCAAUGUCCUUCGUGCUAGGGAUUGGGGCUUGCAAUUCUUCCCCACGAACGAGGAAUUCCUAGUAAGCGGGAAUCAUUAGUUCCCGUUGAUUAUGUCCCUGCCCUUUGUCCACACCGCCCGUCGCUACUACCGAUUGAAUGAUUUAGUGAGGUCUUCGGACCGGCGCUCGAUGGCGCGGUGGUUCUCGAACCGCCCGCCGCCGAUGCAACUGGAAAGAUGACCGAACUUGAUUAUUUAGAGGAAGUAAAAGUCGUAACAAGGUUUUC
rnacentral:rRNA from 1 species